UACUCUCCUAUUUUCCCUGUAAACCCUAACCAAAAACUUCAUCGUCGCUUUCAUUCUUCUCUCCUCUUCUCCCUGUAAACCCUAACCGAAAACUUCAUCGCCGCUUUCAUUCUUCUCUCCUCUUCUCCCUGUAAACCCUAACCGAAAGAGGUAACAUAGUUGGAUUCAAGCGAUGGUGGUUUGAUAUGCCGACCAUGAUGGUGCUUUAGGGUUUAGAAGACACUAAUGCUUUCUGAUUGUCCUCUUUUCUAUUUCCUUGCGAGUUUCAGGAAAGAGUAUUGAUCCGAUGUUGAGAAGGUUGCCCAGCUGAAAUCUAUCUUAUGAUCUCUUAGUUGUUGAGAAGGUUGGCCAGCCGAAAUUCACCCCCAAACCACCGGUUCAGAGGAGACGAACUCUUAUCUUACCUAAAAGUGACAAUAGUGAUGAUGAUUCUGAAACCGAGCAGGAAUUACUCCGCACAGUCGUUAUGAGCAUCAGUCUUGAUGUAAACUCAAUUCGAAGAUGCCUUCAUCGUAUUUCUGAUUGCUGUUGUUGUUUGUUGAUUUGAUUGAAGAAGAAUGAAGGUGUGUUUGUGUCACGGCUGAAUCUGAUGAAGGUGUGUUGUUGUUUGUUGAUUUGACAGUGGUCGGAGAUGAAGGGGAUUUUCAUCAAUCUUAAUCACAGGUUCUUCUCCAGCAAUGAUGGCCAGGGUUCCGCUCAUUGAUCAUCCGUUGUUCGCAUCAAAAUCUAUGGCGUUUAGGAUAUUAGUGGUAUUGCACUACCAGUUAGGUCUGAUAAAUUGUACACAGGGAGUAGAGACGAGACUAUGAGGGUUUGGGAUUGCCAAUCUGGACAGUGUGCAGGGGUUAUUAAUGUGGGUGGUGAAGUGGGCUGCAUGCUCAGUGAAGGCCCAUGUAUUUCUUUGUGAUUGAUAAUAAAUGUGUUGGAUUUCUAUACUUAAGAUAUGCUGCAGAACCCAAAACUUUGUGGGUGUGGUUCGAACCAUAUGUCAAGGAUGAUGAGAGUGCGAAAUUGGACCGAUCACGCUUUAGUCAAGAAUUA